rnacentral:tRNA from 1 species
UCUCUGAUAGUAUAUUGGCUAGUACACCCGCCUGUCACGCGGGAGAGCUGGGUUCAAUUCCCAGUCAGAGAG